CUCUAGAGCUUGGGAUUUGGUUUUCUAGCAGCUUCUCAAGUCAAAAACAGAGGUGAAGGUCAAUCAAAACAUGGGCUGAGGCCUGACAGCCAAGGCGGUGAAAGGCAUCCAAAAGGGAAGAAGCAGAGGGGACCCAGAAAUCCCAUCUCCUGUGCUGCCCAGAACCUGUGCUGCCUUCCAAUGAUGCUGCCGUUCCUCAAACAUCCUGCAUUCCAUGUCUGGUGCUGUCUGUGGCUCUUCCUCUCCAAACUUAUGGAGAAGUGUUUCAAUUUUUAGGCUGAAAAAAAAAGUCAGCGAUGCAUCUCUGCAAAUUCUGGUGGUGGCUGAAGACUGAAAAGCCUGAGGUUGGUUUGAACAAAGGGACAACCUCAACAUCGGGGCAGCGGUGUCCCCGCGUCGUUUUCCCUACAUAUUACAACCAGACAGAAAUGAUACACUGGAUGCCACUGUGGGGAGGGGGGUGCUUCUAUCCCAGCGUUUUAAUCCCAGUAAACUAUUUUCUUAAUAAGAUUCUCCAAUAAAUUUGACUCCUGAUGUCCUCAAAGCA